rnacentral:rRNA from 1 species
UACGUAGGGGGGCAAGCGUUGUCCGGAUUUACUGGGCGUAAAGCGCGUGUAGGCGGCUACGCAGGUCCGUUGUGAAAACUGGAGGCUCAACCUCCAGACGUCGACGGAAACCGUGUGGCUAGAGUCCGGAAGAGGAGAGUGGAAUUCCUGGUGUAGCGGUGAAAUGCGCAGAUAUCAGGAAGAACACCAAUGGCGAAGGCAGCUCUCUGGGACGGUACUGACGCUGAGACGCGAAAGCGUGGGGAGCGAACAGG